rnacentral:rRNA from 1 species
CAGCCGCCGCGGUAAAACGGAGGGCGCGAGCGUUACCCGGAUUUACUGGGCGUAAAGGGCGUGUAGGCGGCCUGGGGCGUCCCAUGUGAAAGGCCACGGCUCAACCGUGGAGGAGCGUGGGAUACGCUCAGGCUAGAGGGUGGGAGAGGGUGGUGGAAUUCCCGGAGUAGCGGUGAAAUGCGCAGAUACCGGGAGGAACGCCGAUGGCGAAGGCAGCCACCUGGUCCACUUCUGACGCUGAGGCGCGAAAGCGUGGGGAGCAAACCGGAUUAGAUACCCCGGUAGUCCCUGUCUCUUAUAC